rnacentral:lncRNA from 1 species
AUAGUCUAAGUAACAUACAUACUAUAUGAUUAAUUAGUUAACGGGUGGGACAAUACAUAUACUACCAAUUAGUCUAAAAGAUAUUUUUGUUCAUCAUGUCAAUUGAGAAAUGUAGAUUCAUAAAUGAGUUACUUUUAUACAUUUACCCUAUAGUUUAUACCAAAUUAGACAUAGUGAAUCCAUAUAGUUAAAGGCUUAAAGCUAAAGCUUGAUCAAAAGUUGAAUGCUUGAUGAUUAAUUAGUUAUACCAAUUAAGGUUACAUAAAACUGUUGUUAUCUGUUUAGCUCACAAAAGAGGUGGGAUCACCGAAGUUAAAAGUCUGGUUACGAAUUUGAUUGAAUUUAAUAGUUAUUUUUAUUCAAAUAUUACAUUUGUAUUAAAUACAUAAAAUUAAAUUUAGAAUUCAGUUAUUCAUAAUACUUGAAAUCAUCUAUAGAAAAUUCAACAAAAUUAAAAAUGGCACAACCUUAGAAAGUAAAAAUGCAUUAUCUCACAAAGCUAAUCAAAGCCAAGAGAUAAGGAAUUGCAAGGCCACUUUAACUUUCAACCCCACAAAAUAUACAUUAUAAUUAUUCUUUAUCUCUACGCAUGCCAAGACAAGUCUUACAAUGCCAAAAACUAAGGAAGAUGAUAGAAAGUGACUCUGAAAAAAGCCUCUUAUUCUGGGCCAUUAUCAAGAAAGAAUCCUUCCAAGCUUUGCACAAGAAGGAUUCUCUCCACAUAUUCAGAAGGGAGUCAGAAUUUAAAGUUUAUAGAUUUUAAAAUUUAAUUUUUUUACGUUGUUACAAGGUUCAUUUUUACAUAUUCAAUGAAUUUUUUAGUAUAAAUUUAGAAUUUAAAUCAAAAUUACUAAGUUUUAGGCGUUUGGCCAAACCCCUAAUCAACACACUCUUUUCUUUUUAUUCUUUUAACUUUUCCCUCUCAAUAUUUAUAUAAAUUAAGUGUUGUUCUCAUGUCGAAAGGAAUAACGUUGAGCCACAGAAUAGGGGGCUAAAAAAGGAAGUGUGAACGAAUGGGUAUAAAUACUCUUUCAUUAUCUAUAAAGUAUAUGAUAUUAUUCGUUAGAUAUUAAUAAGGGUCAAGUUGUUCUUUAGCCUUUACAGGCUUUGAUGAGGUGGCCUAUGCAUGCUUUCUAUAGAUGGUUGCACUCCUCAAUUUUAUUUUGAAAAUUAAAAUUAAGAUGAUUUUUCUAUUAUAAACAUAAUUUUACUAAGUAAUUUUGAAUAAUUGAGUGAACAUAUUAGUAACACUCAAAACAUUUACCAUCUAUUCUAUGUAAAAAUAAGCUUAUUUAGUGCUUGGGAGGCAUGCAUGGAUAAAGCAGAGUUCAAAUAAGUCAGUUGGUGCAGUAUCAUGUAUAAACACAGGUUUUUAAUUAAGGCUAUUUUCUCAUUUUUUACAUUGAUAAAUCAAUUCUAAUGCACUAUACUAAAUUUUUACACGAAAAAGAAAGUUCUUAUUUUUUAAAAACAUUCUCAUUCUUUAAUAUUAUAUUAUUAUUACCAUUUAUUUUCAUAAAACAAAUCUUUUUCUUACAUAUUCAUUCUAUACAAGUCAUAUGCUUUUCUUACAUAAUCAUUUAAUAUAAAAUUAUUUUAUAGCAUAAUUUUUUAGAUAGGUAGUGAAAAUAAUUUUAAACUUGGCGUAACUUAUUAGUUUCGUCUCUGAACAAUCGAUAGUUGUAAAUUAAAAAUAUCUUUUACUUAACUAAUUAAACUUAAAUACACUCCCGAUAUGCAACAUGACAUAGCAAGUGGUUUCAAGUUAUUGUAGGAGCAUGAGACCCUUAAUAAAAAAUCGAGAGAAGUGUUGAAAGCACUCCUAAACUUGGCGAGAAUUCGUGAGUGUAUUUCAAUCAUGUUGCAUGAUUGAUGGUGUAUUUAACUUUACUUAGUCAAGUAAAAAUGUAUUUUUAAGACAGUCAGUAGUUCAGAAACAAAACAAAUAAAUCGCGUCAAGUUUAGUGAUAUUUUCGAGUUAAAAAUAUCGAAGCUGGAAGACAAGUUUGAAACAACCUCUUCUUUUAUAUCAUUGGAGUCUGAGAUUUCUACUCUUAAUUCACCUAUGCUAUCAUUUGAGAAAAUUAAAAUUUAUACAAAUUUCCUUCCUUUAUUUCUGAAUGGAUUCAUCACUAUUCGAGGUUCUAUAUUUGACAUUUUGAAAAAUUUCCCAAAUGAAAAACAUCUAUUUGAUAUCAGCUUCCAUAUUAUUCUUAAACGUUGGGCCUUAUCUACUUGAUAUCAGCUUAAUCAGGCCCAAAGUGAGAAUGAAUUUGUUAGGCCCAAAGUGAGAGUGAAUAUUGACACCCUACCUCAAGUUGGAGGACACGCAACUUGCCGAGAAGAUUAUGAUGAACAGGUCCUUUGUAAAAAUGUCGGCUAGUUGUGAAGUAGACCCGAACAUACGACAAUGAGAUGAGUUGUUGACGGACGAAGUGACAGUCCAGUUCGACGUGCUUCGUCCGUUCAUGAAAUACCGGAUUCUUCGCAAUGUGAAUGGCUGCAAGAUAUCCGAAUGAAGUGGCACCGGUAUUGAGAGGUCUUUGAACAGACGGACUAACCAGGUUAGCUCAACAACGACCCUUCUCAUUGAGCUAUAUUCGGCUUCAGCUGAACUAAGAGAGAUUGAAGAUCGUUUCUUCGAAUUUCAAUAAAUAGGAGAAGUUCCAAGAGUAUUGACUAACUGAUCUGCGUGAAUCUGGACAGGUACCCUAGUCGAAAUCACAGAAAGCUGUCAGCUUGAAAGAGGAAGAGGAUGGGAAAAAUAGACCAAGACCUGGAUCAUUAGCAAGUAACGCAACACCCGCAAAGCAGCAGUUAAGUGCGACUGACAAGGAUCCUGCAUAAAUUGACUUAGGUGCUGCACAGGCCUCGUAUUAGUCAGGUAGUUCAGUUUCCCCAAUAAGUGUCGAUAAAAAGUAGAAUAAGUGAUAGGCUCUCCAUGAUUAGCCAAAUAAUUUUAUAGUAAGAUCUAAUGGACAAGAAACAGGACUGAGAUGUAGAGAGUCAAAGUCUCUCAAAAGAUCUAAUCUGAACUUUCUUUGUGAAAUAAUCAGACCCUGAGGUUCACGAACAACUUCCGUUCCAAGAAAAAAAUGUAAAUCACUGAGAUCCUUAAUAUUGAAUUCUCUGUCUAAGAAACCUUUUAAAUUGUGUAAUUCUGCUUUACAAUUUCCUGUCAAAAGGAUAUCAUCCACAUAAAUAGCAACAAUAGAAAUUGAACUGCCUGAUUUUUUGAAGAAGAGUGAAUAAUCAUUCAAGGAAUGACGAAAUCCUUUAAAAUUAAGAGCAGCAGUCAACAUAGAAUACCACUGUCUGGAUGCUUGUUUAAGUCCAUAAAUGAACUUUUUAAGCAAACAGACAUGGUUAGAAGUAGGAGUUGAAACACCUCUUUAUAUAAAUCAUGCAGAAAUACAUUGUUAACAUCUAAUUGGAAAAUUCCUCUACCAUGUUUAACUGUUGUAGCUAAAAGACACCUGAUAGUAGUCAUCUUGACCACGGGUGAAAAAGUUUCAUUACAAUCCAUCCUUCUUUUUGAACAUCCCCUAUGAUAACCAAUCUAGCCUUUAGUCUUUCUAUAUACUGCCAUCAACAUGUUGUUUGACUUUAAAAACCCAUUUGGAAGGUAAAGAUCUUUUACCAGUAGGUAAGACAAUAAUAUCCCAAGUUUUGUUAAGCUCCAAAGCUGAAAGUUCAUUGUCCAUUGCUUUCUGCCAACCUGGAUGAUGUGCAGCCUGCAUAUGAAUUGAUAGGUUCUUGUAUACUAGAAAUGGAAUUGAGCAUUAUUUGAUUGGUAAAAGAUAAAUCACUAAAAGAUAAUUUGUUAUGAGUAACAGGACUCAAGAAGCAACUGGAAGAAACAUCUACAAAGUGGAAAGCAUCCAGGCAUAUGAUUCUAAAUAAGUAGGCUUCUUGUGGUUUCUAGUGGAUUACCUUAGAAGAGUCUUAAUAAUAGGUGAAGGAGUAGGAAUAUUAGAAGAUCAGUAGGUGAGGAAUCCUGAGAAUCAGAAAUAGGAGGAAUAGGAGGAUCAUGAGACACAUCCUCAGUAAUGUCACAAAUAUCAUCAGAAAUUAGAGCAUUAUCAGUAAGAUCAAAUUUAUAGUGAAAUGAAAAGGAAUAGACAAAUUAGGUAAAGAAUUAGAAGGAAAAUAAUUGGUAGAAGGCACAUAUUUAGAAAAAGAAAAAUAUUCUUCAUGAAAAACAACAUUCUUGAAACUGAUAUAUAUUCUUAGUUUGAAGAUUCAUGACCUUGUAACCCUUUUUUCCAUAAGGAUAUUCAAUAAAGACACAAGGACAAGCAUUUAGAUCAAACUUACUUCUAUGAAUAGGUAAAGUAGACACAAAACAAAGACAUCCAAAACAUUUUAAGUGAGAGUAAAUAGUCUUAGUUUUAAAGAAGAUUUCAAAAAGUGUUUUGAAUCGCAAGACACUAGAAGGAAAUUUGUUGAUGAGAUAAGUUGAUGUGAGUAAGCAUUCUCUCCAAUAGCUAAUAGGAAGAUGAGACUGAUAUAAAAGGGCUCUAGAGGUUUCCAACAAAUGUUUGUGUUUUCUUUCUACAAUACCAUUUUGUUGAGGAGUGUGAACACAAGUGGUUUGAUGGACAAUUCCCUUGAAAAUGAGAAAAUCACUUUAUACUUUACCACUAUCCAAUUCAAGGCAUUAUCAGUUCUGAUUUUUUUUUUUUUGAAUUGAAUUGCCUUUCGACCAUAUGAUUGAAAGAUUCAAUGAUAGUAAAAAUAUUAGAUUUAGUGCUAAGAAGAUAUGUCCAUGUUGCUCUACUAAAAUCAUCUAUAAUGAUAGUGAAAUAUCUAAAACCAUUGUGAGUACUAGUUUUAUAAGACCCCCAAGAACAUAAAUAAACUCAAAAACAGAGGUAGUAGAAAUAUUGCUAGAAGGGAAAGGUAACUUUGACUGUCUAGCCAUAGGAUAGAUAAUACAAGGGGAAGAAAAUUUAGAACAAGAUGUAGAAAUAGGAAAAACUUUUUUCAUAUUACUCAUUGACAUGUGGCCUAAUCUAUAGUGCCACAUCUUUUCUUUUACAUUGGAAUCAAAAUAACUGGAAGAAGAAGUAAAAACAUCUGCUAGAAAAGUAGAAAAAGUAAAACUAUUAAAUUUUGAAAUGGUAGUAUUGCUUGUGGCAACAGUUGGAUCACUGCUCUUAAGAAUAUAUAAACCUUCUUGUUCUUUACCAAGUACCUGAGGGCUUUUCACCGAAGGGCCCUGCAAAUCUAGCAAGAAUUAGGAGUGAAAAGAAUAGAUUUCUGAAGUUAUCAGCACAACUUAAAAGAAGAAAUAUAGAGCACAUUUUCUUGAAUAAGAUCAGAAAAGAUUUUAACAGAACCUGUACGAGUGACACUGACUUUAUGAGAAUUAGGAAGAGUGACACUCAUAGGUGCAGUAAGAGGAUUAAUAGUAAGAGGAUUAAUGUUAGUGAAGUAACCUUUAUCAGAAGUAAUAUGCUUUGAAGCUCCACUAUUUAGUAUCCAACAACAUUUAUCAAUUUUAAGUAGACAAACAUGAGAUUCAAGAGAUUUAGUUAUACCAGAUGAUAUUAUAUUUGUAGAUGAUUCAGCUGGAUUCUUUUGAUUCAUCUUUUGCAGUAGUGUUAAUAGUUGACUAACAUUUUCUGGUGACAGACUGUUCAAAAAUGCAUGAUCUGAAUUUUCCUAUUGUGAUGCUUCACUUGUGCUAAAAACAUUUCCAGCAACAAGUACCUUUUGAUAUCUUUUAGGUUUAGUAAACUUAAAAUCAGAACCCAUGGAUCUUGUAACAUUGCUCUAUGGUGUGUCCUGUUUUCUUACAGUAACUACACACCAAUGAAGAUUUCUUGGUUCCUUUGUUAGGCUUAUACUCAUUGUUUCUCCUUUCACCUCUAUUCCCUACUAGAAAGGAUGCUGAAUCUCUUGAUAAGCAGGAUUAGCAUGGAUCUUUCUUUGUUUUUCAUCCUGAAUUACUAGAGAGUAAGCUUGUCCAAUUGUAGGUAAAUGUGCAAAUAACAAGAUAUUGCUUCUGACACCUAAGAAAGUAUCAGUCGAACCCAUUAAAAACUGUAGUAGUCUUUCAUCUUGAUGAGCCUUAAAGCCCUUUUCCUUAGCACCACAGAUACAAAUACAAGAAAAAGCAGAAAAAGUGCUUAAAACAUCUAGUUCAUCCCAUAAACUUUUCAUCUUAGUAAAGUAAGCAGAUGGAAUUUCCUUGAACAACAGUAUUAAGUUCCUUUUGAAGUUGAAACAACUUAGCACCAUUUGCUUGACCAAAUCUACCUUCUAGAUUUGACCACAAAACUUUGGCACUUUGAGAGUACAAAACUGACUCAACAAUCUCUUUUGAAAGAGAAUUUAGCAACCAAGAUAGUACCAUGUCAUUGCAUCUUAACCAAGCUCUUUUCAUUUUCAGGUCUUUAUCAGCUGGAACAUCUAGAGAUCCAUCAAUGAAUCCUAGUUUGUUCUGAGCAAUAAUCACAGCCCUUCUCCAGCCACCAUAGUUUCUACCAUCAAAGACAGUAGAAACAAGGUUCAUGCCUGGGAUAUCUGAAGGAUGAAUGCAGAAAGCAUGUGAAACAUGUACUGAUUUAUUUACAACAGCUACUUCAAAAAUUUCAGUAGUUUGUGAAAGGAGAAUCUGAACAUGAGUCAUUUUUCAAAAAAUGGAAGGAAGAGUGAAGACUAUGGAGAAGAAGAUAGGAUCAUUUUUCAAAGUGAGAGUGAAUAUUGACAUUAUUUCCUAACUUUAUCAUUAUUUUCAUUAAAUUUUGAUGAGGAUGUUUCAGGUGAUUCUACAAACAUGAAGAAAGAAAAAUCAAUGAAGGCUCUGAAAUUGUCUAAUAAAAAAAUAAUCUAUGUAACUAAUACUCAGAAAUCAGAAUUAUUGUUGGUUUCAAAUGAAUUCUUAACUUUACAUAUUAUUAUGUUUGUCACGAGUUAAACUAUCGAGUCGUGCAAACACCUACUCGAACUCAUAGAUGGGAGAAACUUUACCACCAGAUUUGAAAUUGAUAAUGCGAAAGUAAUAACAUAUCAACUUACGAACUAAUUUAGAAAAUACAAAAUUGCUCUCAACCUUGAUAUAAAUAAAAGUACUUUAGUAAAAUGCAUGAACCUCUUUCUAGGAACUAGUGUAAACAUGUUGAAGAGCUUCUAAGAGAAUACCAAACAUUAAAACAAGACAUAUCUCCCACUAAAAAAAAGGAGUAAAAUAUGUUGUAUUCACCCAAAGAAACAUCAUUGACCCUACUACAACCAAACUAUAAGCGAUCUCAUAAUAAAGUCAAACACAAUAGUUAUCUUUUAGUCUUUUGAGUUGAAAUAAUCAUUAUUAUUCAUGAAUAAUCAUCAUGUAAUUUGAUAUAUAUCAUGAGGAAACUACACUUCAUAAAUAUAUUGAUAUUUUAUCAUACUCAUACAAUUGAUCGUAUGAAUCACCAAGAAAACAUGAGUUUUAAGUCAUAUGGAAAAGGGUUGAUAUAAUUUGCAAAAUAAAAGCCAUCUUCCCUAACCAACCAAUAACAUAUAUUACCACGACCUUUACACUUGUCUGAAUCACUUUCAAAAACAUAAAAGGUUUUGGUCUUAGUAACCCAAACAAAUUCACACUUGAACCGAGUUGUCUGCCAAAAAUUCUCACGAAAAUGCCAAUGAUAACCCUCAGGCCCAGGAUUAAGAAAAUGAGUUCCUAAAUCAUUGUCUUUGGACCAACAAUGGACAAACAAAGGAUUUGUUCCAUUAGGGAGGUCACUUACAAUCCAAAUUUGAUAACGAGUUAAAGGACCCUCGGUAGAAGGAGUAGCAACAAUUCCACUCAAGGACAAGAUAAACAAAAAUGAAAUGAUUAAAAUUGUGAUGUAAGAAUUCAUGUUGAGAAAAAAAAAUAUUAUUUUUCUCUUUUGUAGUUUAAUGAUAAAAGGCUAUUUAUAGUUUCUUGGAAUUAGAUUACAUAACAUAUGGUCAAGAUAUAGUGUGGAGUUAAUUUGUCAAAGGUCAUUCAAUUUGUAGAAAUAUCUCACAUUUGAAUUUUUCUUGUCAAUUUGGUAUUAAAUUAUGCCCAUAUUUUCAUCAAAGUUAAAACUAAGAAAAAGAAUUCAAAAG